CGCCUUUUGUUAAAGUAUAAAAGGUCCAGCCUGCCCAGUGACUAAGUUCAACGGCCAUGGUAUUAUGACCAUGCGAAGGUAGCAUAAUCACUUGUUCUUUAAAUAAGGACUAGUAUCAACGGCACCACGAGGGCUAGACUGUCUCCUUUCUCCAAUCAGUGAAACUGAUCUUCCCGUGAAGAAGCGGGAAUAAACUUAUAAGACGAGAAGACCCCAUGGAGCUUUAAAUUUACAAUUCACCUUUUAAUAUACCUACAACAUUAAACUAAUUAAGAACUGAAUUUAAUUUUAGGUUGGGGUGACCACGGAGUAUAACACAACCUCCAUGAUGAAAGGCCACUGCCUAAUUCAAGAGUAACCACUCUAAAAAUCAACCACUUGACAUUUUAUGAUCCAAUUAUUAUUGAUCAACGAACCAAGUUACCCUGGGGAUAACAGCGCAAUCCAUUUAGAGAGCUCCUAUCGACAAAUGGGAUUACGACCUCGAUGUUGGAUCAGGGUAUCCUAGUGGUGCAGCCGCUACUAAAGGUUCGUUUGUUCAACGAUUAAAACCCU
rnacentral:rRNA from 1 species